rnacentral:rRNA from 1 species
CAGCAGCCGCGGUAAUACCGGCGGCCCGAGUGGCGGCCACUCUUAUUGGGCUUAAAGCGUCCGUAGCCGGGUUGGUUAGUCUCCCGGGAAAUCUGGCCGCUUAACGGUCAGAAUUCCGGGAGAUACUGCCAGCCUAGGGACCGGGCGAGGCCGAGGGUAUUCCCGGAGUAGGGGUGAAAUCCUAUAAUCCCGGGAGGACCACCUGUGGCGAAGGCGCUCGGCUGGAACGGGUCCGACGGUGAGGGACGAAGGCCAGGGGAGCAAACCGGAUUAGAUACCCGGGUAGUCCUGGCUGUAAAGGAUGCGGGCUAGGUGUCGGGUGAGCUUCGGGCUCGCCCGGUGCCGGAGGGAAGCCGUUAAGCCCGCCGCCUGGGGAGUACGGCCGCAAGGCUGAAACUUAAAGGAAUUGGCGGG